rnacentral:lncRNA from 10 species
AAUGUAGUUUUGACAUAUGGAUGAAAUAAAAUACAUUAUUUAAAUUAAUUUCACCUGUUUCUUUUUACUUUUUUUAAUGUGGCUGAAAAAUAUAUGGUUCACAUUUGUGGCUCAUUAUAUAUUUUAUUGGACAGCACCACUUUAGAGAUAGAAAGCAAGCUGUAUUUCUGCAGGUAUUCAUCCUGAAUCGAGGAUCAAAUAUAGGUGUGAAAACUUUCAGAUCUGUUAGGUAUCUAUUGAUGUGUAAAACAAGUUGAUUUAAGUCAACAUUUAUUAUCUCGUAGGUCUGUGUGCCAGGAAUCUGGGUGCCACUUAGGCGGGCCUGCUGGCUCAGGGUCUCUCACAGGCUGAAAUCAAGGUGUCACCUGAGGCUACCAUCAUCUCAAGGCUUAACUGGCAAAGGAUGUACAUUCAGCCACCCUAGAUGGUUGUUGGCAGGACGCAAACUCCUCGUGGGCUAUUGAAUUGAGGACCUCUGUUUAUUGUUCUUGUCAGCCCAAGGCUGCCCUGAGUUCCUUGCCAUAAGGACCUCUCCAUAAGGCAGCUUGCAACAUGGGAGGUGCUUCAUCAGAGCCAGCUGGUGACAGAGUACAAGCAAGAUGAAAGUGACAGUCUUCUAUAACCUGAUCUUGGAAGUGACAGCCUAUCAUUUUUGCCAUAUUCUUCUCAUUAGAAGCAAGUCAAUAGUCCCACACUCUAAGUAAGGAGAUUGCAGAAGGGCAUAAAUAGGAGGAGAUGGGGAUUGCUGAAGGCCAAUUCAGAAGCUGCCUGCCUAGAACCAAGGAGUAUACGAAGCAUGCACAAGAUGGUUCAUCCUGGCAGAGGAGGAACAGUUCUUCCCUCAUAACCGAGCUGGAGAGGCACACGUGGCAGAAGGUAGAGGUGCGAAUUCACAGAAAUCAAGGAUGUAAGAUGAAGGUAUGUCUUCCAACAUACGGCAACAUCCAGUUGAUUCACUGAACUGAGAAAUGGGUGUAUACCUGUAAAAGAAAGGAAGAGCUAGCUUCAGUAUGCAGCCUAGUGAAACUGGAAUCAGAACAGAAUGAAUACGAUGAACUGGAAAUGUCAUGUUAUUGAGCUACAGUCUCUAGAACAGAGACAGUGGCAUCAGUUGGAGUCCUUAAUAUUUGAGGUUUCUUGGCUAAACUAACUUCCCCCAGAGAGGGCUAAGACGGAGGGCUAAGACGGGUAAUACCAUGUCUGCCUGUGACUCUCCUUUUAGUCAAGCUUCUGAGUGGGCUCCACCUCCAUUCAGGAUGAUGGUAGUAACACAGCUAAUGAAAGACAGUUUUCACUGGGUUAGAAAGUCCUAACGGCCAUUUUUUUUCUUUCUUGAGAGUUCUGUGUAAUUUUUUCUUUUUGAAGAGUUCUGUGUUUUUUCAGAGUUCUGAUCUCAUAUGAAAUGAUUUCAAAGUUUAGCUCUCAGUGGGAAAUAAUUUGUCCACAUUCCAGGGAAACAGGAGAAAGCCCCUUAGUUCUAAGAGUAGUACUGACAGUCAUCACCUACAGUCAAAUGAUAUUUUGGGCAAGUCUGCAUUCUUUUAUGAGCCACAAAACCAUAUAGCAGGAACUAAGAUGCAGAGACCCUGUAAUAAAUACAUUCCUUCCACCAGCUCUUAGACAUCGUUCAUAAAUUGUUCCAUUUGACAGUGAACAGGGAAAAUGGAUGAGAAAC